AUUUUUCCAAAUAAAUCCAUGUUGUUUUAACUGUCUUGAAUAAUUAGAAAAACAUAUAUGAAAAAGUACAUAUCACAUAUAUAAAAGCACAAAUAAAAUAAAAUAUAUUCAUAAUCUUGUAUUGAAAAGUACAAAAAGACAAGUUAAGCUCCCAAAAUACCUUAUAAAUUACAUUUAAACAAUUCUCUUUAAUCUUUCUCGCAGUCCCAUGAAAAAAUAAUAUCUCAUAUUUACAGAUAACGCAACUCAAAAAAUGACAAAACGGUAUAUAUAUCUACCACACAUCCUCUGCAAAAACAAAAACAAAAAUAUUUAAUUAUAACCAUGAAUUAUAUAAAAUUCAUGCAAAGCUUAGAUAUGACUCAAUUAGUUAUAAAACAACACUUCCUAUACAAACUUUACAAUAAAGAGCACAAAUGUCUUGGGUUAGCUAAACCAAAUACUGCUUAACAAUUUAAAAUUAAAGUUAUAUUAUUACUAAAGCCAAACGCUACAUAACAACUAAUACUAUGAAAGUCUCUUCAAAAUAAACACAAUAUGAAAAUAAUACAUAGUCUUGAAAAAAAAAACUGCAAAACGUUAAAAAAAAGUAAUUCAAUACAAACAAAUAACUCCAAAAAAUUUAACACUCAUGAAAAAAUGAUCUUUAAAGCCAAAAUUAGAAGAAGACAAUAAAUUCAUCUUUUUAACCUCACCCUAUAUAAUACAUUUCUACAAUACCUUAUGCUCCCACAGAUACUCCAAGAAUGAGUAACCAACCACUUAUAUCUCAUCGGUUGUCACAUCAAUCAAGUUUUCAGGUGAUAACCCAAAGCAAACACUACUAAAUCCACAUAUCCAACACACAACAAUCCAUCAUUGAUUUUCAGCUACCAUUUAUCAUUGAC
rnacentral:lncRNA from 1 species